AUGGGGGCAGCUGAUCCAGCCAUGCCGCGUGAGUGAGAAGGCCUUCGGGUUGUAAAGCUCUUUUGUCAGGGAAGAAAAGGUCGGGGUUAGUACCCUUGGCCGCUGACGGUACCUGGGGAAUAAGCGCCGGGUUACUACGUGCCAGCAGCCGCGGUAAUACGUAGGGUGCGAGCGUUAAUCGGAAUUACUGGGCGUAAAGCCGUGCCCAGGCGGUUUUGUAGUCAGAUGUGAAA
rnacentral:rRNA from 1 species